AGUGAACGCUGGCGGUAGGCCUAACACAUGCAAGUCGAACGGCAGCACAGUAAGAGCUUGCUCUUACGGGUGGCGAGUGGCGGACGGGUGAGGAGUACAUCGGAAUCUACUUUUUCGUGGGGGAUAACGUAGGGAAACUUACGCUAAUACCGCAUACGACCUACGGGUGAAGGCAGGGGAUCUUCGGACCUUGCGCGAUUGAAUGAGCCGAUGUCGGAUUAGCUAGUUGGCGGGGUAAAGGCCCACCAAGGCGACGAUCCGUAGCUGGUCUGAGAGGAUGAUCAGCCACACUGGAACUGAGACACGGUCCAGACUCCUACGGGAGGCAGCAGUGGGGAAUAUUGGACAAUGGGCGCAAGCCUGAUCCAGCCAUACCGCGUGGGUGAAGAGGGCCUUCGGGUUGUAAAGCCCUUUUGUUGGGAAAGAAAAGCAGCAGGUUAAUACCCCGCUGUUCUGACGGUACCCAAAGAAUAAGCACCGGCUAACUUCGUG
rnacentral:rRNA from 1 species